rnacentral:tRNA from 1 species
GGUGGGGUGCGGGAGCGGCCGAUCCGGCGCGCCUGGAAAGCGCGUAGGCGGGCAACCGCCUCGUGGGUUCAAAUCCCACCCCCACCG